CGACCCCUGCCCUGUGCGUGAUAAGGCGAAGCGGUAUUUUGAGCCAACACAUCCGCAAAAGGGCCGAAUGCCACUGAUUUUAGGAGGUGGACCCCCAAUUAUUAGGGGACCCGAACCGGAUUAUGCCCGGCCCACCUGUUAAUACAGGUUCAAAAAAGAUCUCGCUAAACGGCAGAGGCGGGGGUGGC
rnacentral:other from 1 species